AGGAGAAAGAAAGGCACGGAGCGAGUGGGGACAUCUAGGCAAGUUAAAACAACCCACUGCCAAGGGAACAAGGCCUCGAGGAAAAAGAAAUAGAAGGGAAAACCAAAAGAGAGACGCAGACAGACAGCAGAGGGAGGAUCUCCCCGAUGCUGCUGGCCCGAGGAUGGAGGAAGGGGCCGCGAGCCAUGGCAUCACAUCCCGCCAACAACCCAAAUGAGCAGGACACAGGUGCUCCCCAAAGCCUCCCGAGGCGAGUUCAGCCGGCCAGGACCUUGCAUUUGGCCUUGUGAGACCCUGUGCAGAGCUGGGUGAACCCGCUGCACUUCGGACACAGGACUCCUGUCUCCAUCAGGCGAAGAAGCCCGCCAGAGAAGGAGACACACAGCACCCGGUUGUCGCCAUCGCCCUAGAUGAUACUCAGCUGCCUCCCACAAAGCGUCUAAAGCUGACCCAGCAGCUGACCACAGAUGCAUGAGGGAUCCCAGCUCAGACCAGAAGAACCAUCCAGGCGAUGGUUCAAGCCGAAUUGUUGACUGGCUGAAUCGUGUUGUCUUAAGCAACUAAGUUUGGGGAUCAUUUGUCACGCAGCAACACUAACUGAUACGCUCAUGAUCACGCAACUGUUAAAGGCAGAGUCAGGACUCAAAGUCAGGCUUUUUUUUUAAAGUUUAUUUAUUUACUUUUGAGAAAGAAAGAGAGAGAGAGAGACAGCAUGAGUGGGGGAGGGGCGGAGAGAGAGGGAGACCUAGAAUCCCAAGCAGGCUCCGGGCUCUGAGCUGCAGAGCCCAACUCGGGGCUUGAACUCACGAACUGUGAGAUCACGACCUGAGCCGAAACCAGGAGUCGGUCACUUAACCACCUGAGCUACCCACGCACCCCUCAAAGCCAGGCUUUUUACUCCCAAAUGCAUACUCUCAUCCCCUAUAUUCGGCCACCUCCCCACAGGGAAAUAAGUAAGAAAGCCCAAAGCUGCUAAAAAUCCCACGCCGGCUUCCCAAACGUCAGUCUACACCUUGUUUGGAACGUGCCUCAUCCCUGCCGUCACCCGCCUUGAGACCUGCCAGCUGGACCUGGCUCUUUUGCCCCCUCUGUUCCCUGAGCCCAGGUGGGGACGGAGCACUCACUCCAGCCUUGGAUCCCCCCCGCCCCUCCCCCCGAGGCCUUCAUUCUAUGAGCACCAUCCCUCCUCAUCUGCAAAGUUUGUUCCGAGUGUCAGCAGAAAGAACCCGGCCUUUCCACACGUACAUAUCAGCAGCCACGAUAAAAACCAGCUGUAAGGUUUAAAAAUAACCUCC